ACGGGAGGCAGCAGUGGGGAAUAUUGCACAAUGGGGGGAACCCUGAUGCAGCCAUGCCGCGUGAAUGAAGAAGGCCUUCGGGUUGUAAAGUUCUUUCGGUGAUGAGGAAGGGUGGUGUUUUAAUAGAACAUUACAUUGACGUUAGUCACAGAAGAAGCACCGGCUAACUCCGUGCCAGCAGCCGCGGUAAUACGGAGGGUGCGAGCGUUAAUCGGAAUGACUGGGCGUAAAGGGCACGCAGGCGGUGACUUAAGUGAG
rnacentral:rRNA from 1 species